UUUUUCCUAAGAUUUCAUUCUCUUUUCCAUGCUCUUAUUGAUUUUAAUACAAAUAGAGAAGACCAUAGAGGGGGGAGGGGGACAAGAACAAUAAAAGGGGAAAGGGUCCCAAAAAAUGGAUCUGACUUUUCCUUUUGGAUUUGAUACAUAUACCAUAUACAUACGCCAUUUUAAGGGGGAUUUUUCCUUUUUAAUCUUCACCAGUAAUGCUCAUCCUCACUAACACACACACUGAUGCGCCACAAUUCACACGCACACACAGAGAUCGGAGGCAAGGGAGAAGGGAAGACAGCAACAUAUAUACAUGAACAGAAACUCUAUUCUUGUUCCUUUCUUCUACACCCUCACAAUUCAUACACGCACAGAUUCCAUCGAGAACCAAUUGAUUCCGGCUAGUAAUGAACAGAAAACAAUCCAUCUAUAUCGAAUCUUCGUCAUCCAUUCAAAAUCAGGUUUCCAUCUCAUCAAUUUUUUAGGUCUGGUUUUAGGUUUUAAGAUUGGUGUUCAUCUUUGGGAUCUCGAUUUGGGGGGUUUGUUAUCUCUAUUUUAAGUGGUUGAUUCAGAGGUCUAUAUUGAGUUCGUGUUCUUGAAUUAAAAUUUGUUUGAAUCAAAAUUGGCGAUAUCGAGUUGGAUUUUUGUCAUUGUUGAAGCUCAAGUUGAGAUUCUCGGAGGUCGAUUUUCUUAUAAUAUUCUUUGAAAAGUUUUCGAAUCAAGUCCAUUUCUAUCCUCUACUAUUUUAUUUCUUUGUUUAUGAUAUCCGAUAUUAUGGAUGGAAUGCUUUGGUUGAUGAUAUGAUCUUGAUUGUGUGGUUGAGCAAGUUUGAUUGUUUGUGGUGAUUUUAUGUUGAAGUUGCUUAAUUAAUCGGGAAUGAUUUAUUGUUUGAGCAUGUUCGAAUCUUUGCUAUGGGUUAGUUGAUGUUGGAUUUGGAUGUGAGAAAUUGGAUUGAUAAUCAAAGAAUUAGUCAAUUAUUUAAGGCUGGAAUUGAUAAAUUGAUAAAAAAGUUGAAUUUAGAUUAACUUUGGUUUAUUGUUGUUUUAUUUAAUUUGUAAUAAGCAUGAAUAUUGUUUUGAACAUGAUAGAAUUAUGAUAUGUUGAAAUGGAUAGGCGAAUGUAGGUUCGGGGAGGCAAAAUUUAGGAAUAAGUUUUCUUUUUGAAUGUGGAAUUUGAGUUGAAUGGUUUGGUUUUAGUUCUUAUAUAUGGAAAUGUAUUCAUUUAAUCGGGGAAUGCCCUGCGAUCUCUUGUAUUUAUUCGACGGGGAAUGCCCCAAAGUAUUUUGUAUUUAGAGGACGUCCGUGAUGAAGGCCCGAGGCAUCGGGUAGCAUGGGAGCAUAGUAUAAAAUUAGUGUAAGGUAGAAUAGGAUUUACAUUUUCACAUUUUC
rnacentral:lncRNA from 1 species